GCCUGGCUGGCUCAGUCAGUAGAGCAUGUGACUCUUGAUCUCGGGGUUGUGAGUUCAAACCCCAUGUUGGACA
rnacentral:tRNA from 1 species